rnacentral:rRNA from 1 species
AAAGGUAGCGUAAUCAUUAGCUUUUUAAUUGAAAGCUUGUAUGAAUGGUUGGACGAGGUAAUAACUGUCUUUGUUUAAUGUAAAGUGGAACUUAACUUUUGAGUCAAAAGGCUCAAAUUUAAUUAAUAGACGAGAAGACCCUAUAGAUCUUUAUUUAUAAGGUUAUAUAUUAAAUUUGGAUAAAUUUAUGGUUUAUGGCUUUAUAAAUUUUAUUGGGGUAAUAUAGAGAUUUAAUAAAUUCUUUGAAUAAUUUCAACAAUGAUGAUUGAUAAAUUGAUCCAUUAGUAUUGAUUAUAAGAUUAAGUUACCUUAGGGAUAACAGCGUAAUUUUUUUAAAGAGUUCAUAUCGAUAAAAAAGU